GGGAGAGUGGUCGAGUGGUUGAAAGCGACAGACUGUAAAUCUGUUGGAAGUUUUCUACGUAGGUUCGAAUCCUGCGUCUCCCA
rfam:Picea glauca, whole genome shotgun sequence.